rnacentral:rRNA from 1 species
AUUGAACGCUGGCGGCAUGCCUUACACAUGCAAGUCGAACGGUAACGGGCCUUCGGGUGCCGACGAGUGGCGAACGGGUGAGUAAUGUAUCGGAACGUACCUUUCAAUGGGGGAUAACGUAGCGAAAGUUACGCUAAUACCGCAUAUUCUGUGAGCAGGAAAGCAGGGGAUCGCAAGACCUUGCGCUGAUUGAGCGGCCGAUGUCAGAUUAGCUAGUUGGUGAGGUAAAGGCUCACCAAGGCGACGAUCUGUAGCGGGUCUGAGAGGAUGAUCCGCCACACUGGAACUGAGACACGGUCCAGACUCCUACGGGAGGCAGCAGUGGGGAAUUUUGGACAAUGGGGGCAACCCUGAUCCAGCCAUGCCGCGUGAGUGAAGAAGGCCUUCGGGUUGUAAAGCUCUUUCGGCCGGGAGGAAAUCGCACGGGCUAAUACCCUGUGUGGAUGACGGUACCGGAAUAAGAAGCACCGGCUAACUACGUGCCAGCAGCCGCGGUAAUAC